CUGAAGGAAGAUAAGUGACCACAGUAUACAGCGUACUUGGGUUGACAAAUGCUGCACGCAAGAAAUGACAUAAUUGCCCUUCUAGAAACUUGGGCAAACACUUGCUGGAAGUCACACAGUAAGGUCCCCAAACCAGUGCGUCCUUUACCCUGUCACUAAGCAACAAAAGGCCAGGCCCAGAGCUGUCGGCUGGUAUCAUCACUGGGACCCAAUAUCUGACAACAUGUCGUCUCUGGCUUUGACAUUGAUUUAUGGGAGGUUUUAAGGAGAUGGGUACCACUCAAAGAUUCAAGUUUUUCAGAUGUUAUCAGUAUUCCGAAGAGGGAGCUGCUCUCAAUGUUCAGCUGCCGGUUGGUGUCUCUGCCCCUGCCUUUGCCCAUGGCUCCUCUCUGGAUGAAUUUGGAGUGAUUUUAGCUCAAAGCAGCUUUUGCAGCCGCACAGGACCCUCCGCACAGGACCCUCCGGUGGAAGAGCCCUCCCUUCGCCUUUCAAUCUACCCAAAUCCAUUGUCCACAGGGGGGAGAGUCUGCUCUGCAGGCUCCUAGCCUUGCUGGUAAGAGAAUUUUAAAAAUAGCCUCGGAAGGGAACUGGAGGACAAUUUAUUGGAGUCAGCGAGCUACAGAGCAACAGGGAGACGCCGAGCAACAGGGAGACGCCAGCAGCUGCCGAGAGGAGAGGAAAAAACAGAGAAAUAGAAACUCAAAGUCCUCGUAGAGUACAACGAAAAGACAGUCUACGGAGGACGCUGUGGUAAAACCAGGAGAGAAAGAGCUGGUGCCCAGAGCCCUUGUUCCUCCAGUGUGUGAAGGAACACAAGACCGCUUUCUUCUCUGGGUAAUGUGGACCUUGGACACAAAACCAGCAGCUCCUCCUUUCAGGUCAACAGAGGAGGAAGUACUUAACCUUAGUGUUAUUUAGGAUAGUUUCAUAGCCAGCUAAGACCCUGCUCCAGGUAGCCUCAGACUCAGGACAGGUCUAAGAAGGAAGGCGUCUCACUGCCGGUCACUUCACUCUUGUCCACUCUGCUGGAGAUCCGUUGGACCAGGAGAGAGUGACUAGAAGCAGUGAUCCGCCAAUGGCUUCCCUUCAAGUUUUGUUAGCAUCGAGUCACUUUAAGGCCCAUGUCCUUGGUUCCUCUUUAACGCGGCAGCUCUUUCAAGCGUCUUGUGGAUCUUUAUCGCCUAUGGAAGGCCAGCGCCAGCUAAUUUUUUUUUUUUUUUUUUUUUUUUUUUUGGUUCUUUUUUCCGGAGCUGGGGACCGAACCCAGGGCCUUGCGCUUCCUAGGCAAGCGCUCUACCACUGAGCUAAAUCCCCAGCCCCGCUAAUUUUUAACAUAGCAAUGGAAGACCAGUGAUUAAAGUUGCUGCUGACGCCAUUCCUGCCGAUUGCCUCAGAGGAAGCCACCAUAUUGGAAUUCAUAUGAGGGGUCACCCCCAAGCUCCUUAUAAUACUCCCACUCAGCCAGCCCCAGUGGAGACUCUCAGAACAGAAACCUGAAGCUGUCCGUCUGUCUAAACCGCAUGCCUUCUGGGGAAUGCGCAUGUCAAGCUAUCAAGUACAAAUCCUAAGUUGGUGGCACUGUUUGGGGACACUUAGAAGGUGCAGCCCUGCUGGAGGAAAUAUGUCACUGGAGGUGGAUUUUGAGAACGUGAACCCUCACCUACUUCUUCAUGCUUGUGGCUUGAGAUGUAAGUUCUGUAUCAUGCCGCCCUGUCUGCUCCCACCUGACAUCAUGGACUCUCCCCCUCUGGUACUGUAAACCAGAAUAAACCCUUUCUUCUCUAAGUUGCCUUGGCUAUGAGGUACUAUCACAGCAACUGAGACAUAGCCAGUACAGAGGGUGGUGAAUUUAUUAGAAGAGUUAUCACCGCCACAGGCAGAUGAUGGCAUGGCAGGGGUGGGGGUGAGGGGUGAGGCUCUGAAGAGAGGAAGUGAGGGAUCCCAGCAGGAAGUGGGAAAUUCUUCUCUUUUUCUGAGGAUGGGAGUGGCUUCGCAGAGUAAGCUCUGUAAGCUCCGCAGCCAGGCUCUCUGAUUCCCACACAGAAAGCAGGCAGGCUGGUGUGAAGCAGGGUUUGCGGCCAUCAGUACACACUUGGAUGUCACUCCCUGGCACCUGGGAGUCUGUUAGCUUGAGAUUCACAGUCAAUGUCUCAGCAGGCGUCAGCUGGUUCCGGUGAAAGGAGAAGGGCCAAGGCAGGUAGUGGGGCAGCUGGAUGCUAAUAUCACAUCCGUCUACUCUUAACAUGGGCUCCUGAGGUAAGAGCAGAGAAACAUUCAUCUCCCAGCAGAAGUGGCCAGUGGAGGCUCUGCUUUUCCCCACUCACCAGCCUAUGGAAGAUAACUUGACUUACCCAAUCUGGAACUGUGGGAGACACACACACACACACACACAGACACACACACACACACACCACACACACACACCCCUGCAGGUGUGCAGCCCCGCCCCCU